rnacentral:rRNA from 1 species
GACGAACGCUGGCGGCGUGCUUAAUACAUGCAAGUCGAGCGAACAGACGAGGAUCUUGCUCCUCUGACGUUAGCGGCGGGCGGGUGAGUAACACGUGGAUAACCUACCUAUAAGACUGGGAUAACUUCGGGAAACCGGAGCUAAUACCGGAUAAUAUAUUUAACCGCAUUGUUCAAUAGUGAAUUACGGUUGUGCUGUCACUUAUAGAUGGAUCCGCGCUGCAUUAGCUAGUUGGUAAGGUAACGGCUUACCAAGGCGACGAUGCGUAGCCGACCUGAGAGGGUGAUAGGCCACACUGGAACGUAGACAGGGUCCAGACGCCUGCGGGAGGCCGCAGUAGGGAAUGUGACGCAGUGGGCGAGAACCUGACAGAGCGACGCCACGUGAGUGAUGAAGGUCUUCGGAUCGGAAUACUCUGUUAUUGGGGAAGAACCAAUGUGUACGUAGAUAUGCACGUCUUGACGGUACCUAAUCAAAAAGCCACGGCUAACUACGUG